AAAUGCGAUAAUUAAUGUGCAUUGCAGAAUUCAGUGAAUCAUCGAGUCUUUGAACGCACAUUGCGCCCCCUGGUAUUCCGGGGGGCAUGCCUGUCCGAGCGUCAUUGCUGCCCUCAAGCACGGCUUGUGUGUUGGGCUUCCGUCCCUGGCAACGGGGACGGGCCCAAAAGGCAGUGGCGGCACCAUGUCUGGUCCUCGAGCGUAUGGGGCUUUGUCACCCGCUCCCGUAGGUCCAGCUGGCAGCUAGCCUAGCAACCAAUCUUUUUAACCAGGUUGACCUCGGAUCAGGUAGGGAUACCCGCUGAACUUAAGC
rnacentral:misc_RNA from 1 species